rnacentral:misc_RNA from 1 species
GAUGAGAACGCAGCGAAAUGCGAUAAGUAAUGUGAAUUGCAGAAUUCAGUGAAUCAUCGAAUCUUUGAACGCACAUUGCGCCCGCCAGUAUUCUGGCGGGCAUGCCUGUUCGAGCGUCAUUUCAACCAUCAAGCCCCCGGCUUGUGUUGGGGACCUGCGGCUGCCGCAGGCCCUGAAAUGCAGUGGCGGGCUCGCUGUCACUCCGAGCGUAGUAGUUACAUCUCGCUCUGGGCGUGCUGCGGGUUCCGGCCGUUAAAAGCCUUAUUUACCCAAGGUUGACCUCGGAUCAGGUAGGAAGACCCGCUGAACUUAAGCAUAUCAAUAAGCGGAGGA